GCUGAUGUACGUGAUGACGAAUACUUUUUUCCCCAUCAGAGCGACUCUGUUGAUCUUACUGCAUUAGCCAGAUCUUGUCUGAUACAUCAGC
rnacentral:snoRNA from 1 species